GGGGACAUAGCUCAGUUGGGAGAGCAACAGACUGAAGUAUCGUCUUCUGGAGGUCCCCAGUUCAAUCCUGGGUGUCCCCA